rnacentral:tRNA from 1 species
ACCUGGCUGGCUCAAUCAGUAGAGCAUGUGACCCUUGAUCUCAGAGUUGUGGGUUCGAGCCCCACAUCAGGUG